rnacentral:rRNA from 1 species
GACGAACGCUGGCGGCGUGCCUAAUACAUGCAAGUAGAACGCUGAAGAAAGGAGCUUGCUUCUUUUGGAUGAGUUGCGAACGGGUGAGUAACGCGUANNUAACCUGCCUUGUAGCGGGGGAUAACUAUUGGAAACGAUAGCUAAUACCGCAUAACAGCUUUUGACACAUGUUAGAAGCUUGAAAGAUGCAAUUGCAUCACUACGAGAUGGACCUGCGUUGUAUUAGCCAGUAGGUAGGGUAACGGCCUACCUAGGCGACGAUACAUAGCCGACCUGAGAGGGUGAUCGGCCACACUGGGACUGAGACACGGCCCAGACUCCUACGGGAGGCAGCAGUAGGGAAUCUUCGGCAAUGGGGGCAACCCUGACCGAGCAACGCCGCGUGAGUGAAGAAGGUUUUCGGAUCGUAAAGCUCUGUUGUAAGAGAAGAAUGUGUGUGAGAGUGGAAAGUUCACACAGUGACGGUAACUUACCAGAAAGGGACGGCUAACUACGUGCCAGCAGCCGCGGUAAUACGUAGGUCCCGAGCGUUGUCCGGAUUUAUUGGGCGUAAAGCGAGCGCAGGCGGUUUAAUAAGUCUGAAGUUAAAGGCAGUGGCUUAACCAUUGUUCGCUUUGGAAACUGUUAAACUUGAGUGCAGAAGG